rnacentral:rRNA from 1 species
AGAGUUUGAUUCUGGCUCAGAACGAACGCUGGCAGCGUGGAUUAGGCAUGCAAGUCGAACGGAAAAUCUCGAGAUCAAUUCUUCGGAAAAGUGAUUGAGAUGGAUAGUGGCGAAAGGGUGAGGAACACGUGGGCAAUCUACCUCUUAGUUGGGGACAACCUUGGGAAACUGGGGCUAAUACCGGAUGUGGUAUUCUAUCGCAUGGUAGAUUUAUUAAAGGUGGGGAAUCUUCGGAUCCUGCCGCUAAGAGAGGAGCCCGCGUCCCAUCAGCUUGUUGGUGAGGUAAUGGCUCACCAAGGCUUACGGGUAGCUGGUCUGAGAGGAUGGUCAGCCACACUGGGACUGAGACACUGCCCAGACUCCUACGGGAGGCUGCAGUCGAGAAUCAUUCGCAAUGCACGAAAGUGUGACGAUGCGACGCUGCGUGUAGGAUGACGGCCUUAGGGUUGUAAACUACUGUCAUUUGGGAAAAAUUCUCCGUGUAGUAAUAUUACAUGGAGUUGAUGGUACCAAAAGAGGAAGCCACGGCUAACUCUGUGCCAGCAGCCGCGGUAAUACAGAGGUGGCGAGCGUUGUUCGGAUUUACUGGGCGUAAAGGGUGCGUAGGUGGUUAUGUAUGUCGGAUGUGAAAGCCCAUGGCUCAACCAUGGAAUUGCAUUCGAAACUGCAAAACUUGAGUGUAGGAGAGGAGAGCGGAAUUCUUGGUGUAGCGGUGAAAUGCGUUGAUAUCAAGAAGAACACCGGCGGCGAAGGCGGCUCUCUGGAAUACAACUGACACUGAGGCACGAAAGCUGGGGGAGCGAACAGGAUUAGAUACCCUGGUAGUCCCAGCCGUAAACGGUGCACACUUGGUGUGGGAGGAAUUGACCCCUUCCGUGCCGGAGCUAACGCGUUAAGUGUGCCGCCUGGGGAGUACGGCCGCAAGGCUAAAACUCAAAGAAAUUGACGGGGGCCCGCACAAGCGGAGGAGCAUGUGGCUUAAUUCGAUGCAACGCGAAGAACCUUACCAGGGCUUGACAUAUACCUGCACGCCCCGUGAAAGCGGGUUUUCCUUCGAGGGUGGUAUACAGGUGCUGCAUGGCUGUCGUCAGUUCGUGCCGUGAGGUGUUUGGUUAAGUCCAGUAACGAACGCAACCCUUGUGUUUAGUUGCCACUCUUGGUGUUAAGCUAGGAAGCACUCUAAACAGACUGCCCGUGCAAGCGGGAGGAAGGUGGGGAUGACGUCAAGUCAGUAUGGCCCUUACGCCCUGGGCUGCACACGUGCUACAAUGACAGGUACAAUGGGACGCUAUACCGCGAGGUUGAGCAAAUCCUCAAAACCUGCCUCAGUUCGGAUUGGAGUCUGCAACUCGACUCCAUGAAGUUGGAUUCGCUAGUAAUGCCGUAUCAGCUACGACGGCGUGAAUACGUUCCCGGGCCUUGUACACACCGCCCGUCACAUCAUGAAAGCCGUCUGCACCCGAAGUCGCUGAGCCAAUCUUUCACGAGAAGGCAGGUGCCGAAGGUGUGGGUGGUGAUUGGGAUGAAGUCGUAACAAGGUA